rnacentral:pre_miRNA from 1 species
UUUCUACUAUAAUAUCUCCCAUGCUAUAUUGGGGGUAUACUUACACUAAAA